rnacentral:rRNA from 1 species
AUUGAACGCUGGCGGCAGGCCUAACACAUGCAAGUCGAACGGAAAGAGGAAGCACUUUGCUGCUUGGCGUACGAGGGGCGGGGGGGUGAGAAAUGUCUGUGAAACUGCUCGAUGGAGGGGGAAAACUACUGGAAACGGUAGCUAAUACCGCAUAACUUCUCAAGACCAAAGAGGGAUAGUUUAAGGCCGCUUGCCAUUGAAUUAUCCAAGAUGGGAUUAGCUAGUAGGUGGGGUAACGGCUCACCUAGUCCACGAUCCCUAGCUGGUCUGAGAGGAUGACCGGCCACACUGGAACUGAGACACGGUCCAGACUCCUACGGGAGGCAGCAGUGGGGAAUAUUGCGCAAUGGGCGCAAGCCUGAUGCAGCCACGCCGCGUGUAUGAAGAAGGCCUUCGGGUUGUAAAGUUCUUUCAGCGGGGAGGAACAGAGUUGAAUUUAUCCCUUCGCUCAUUGACGUUACCCGCUGAGGAAGCCCCGGCUAACUACGUG